UACGUAGGGCGCAAGCGUUGUCCGGAAUAUUGGGCGUAAAGAGCUCGUAGGCGGUUUGUCGCGUCUGCUGUGAAAUCCCGAGGCUCAACCUCGGGCUUGCAGUGGGUACGGGCAGACUAGAGUGCGGUAGGGGAGACUGGAAUUCCUGGUGUAGCGGUGGAAUGCGCAGAUAUCAGGAGGAACACCGAUGGCGAAGGCAGGUCUCUGGGCCGCAACUGACGCUGAGGAGCGAAAGCAUGGGGAGCGAACAGG
rnacentral:rRNA from 1 species